rnacentral:rRNA from 1 species
AAGACCUUGCACUUUUGGAGCGGCCGGUGUCUGAUUAGCUAGUUGGUGGGGUAAUGGCCUACCAAAGCUUCGAUCAGUAGCUGGUCUGAGAGGACGGCCAGCCACACUGGGACUGAGACACGGCCCAGACUCCUACGGGAGGCAGCAGUGGGGAAUUUUGGACAAUGGGCGCAAGCCUGAUCCAGCCAUGCCGCGUGAGUGAAGAAGGCCUUCGGGUUGUAAAGCUCUUUCAGCCGGGAAGAAAAGGUUGCGACUAAUAAUCGCAAUUCAUGACGGUACCGAAAGAAGAAGCACCGGCUAACUACGUGCCAGCAGCCGCGGUAAUACGUAGGGUGCGAGCGUUAAUCGGAAUUACUGGGCGUAAAGGGUGCGCAGGCGGUUUUGUAAGUCAGAUGUGAAAUCCCCGGGCUUAACCUGGGAACU